UUUUGGACUCACUCUUUCUCUGCUCUUUGCCUCCUCUUCAGUCAUCUCCAGCUAUUCUCAGAGAGUUGGAAGAUAACUUGGCGUGAACCUGCCGUCGGUGGCUCUGUGAUCUGAUCUCCCACUUGCGAUCAUUUUCUCAACAACCUGAUCCUAAAACAACACCAGUGAAGCUGUGCAGAUAGAAGACAACAAACUACGUGGAGGAGGCGUGCGAUAGCCGAGCCUGAGCAGCUGCAUGAAAGUUCAUGGCAGAUGACAACCGUGGUGGAAGGAAGCUGAAGCUGGCAGGCAAGAGUGCAUGCAGUAUUUCUGCAGGUACAAGUUGGUGGAGGUCAAAACAGACGUGCAGCGAGAGUAAAUAUUGGAUUUGCGUGGCUGGGAAAACCAUUCCAAAUGAAUGCUAGUGUUGCUACUGCUCCUGCGGGGGGGGCUAAUUGACUCCAAGCAAGAGUGCAUUACUGUACUUUCCAUGAACAUUGUUGUGGUUUAAAUGAAUUCCACUUGAGUUCAUGAUCGAUAUUUACUUCACUUUUAGGUCUUAUUUUGCUUUAAUAACUUUGAUGACAGAGUAGUGGACACAUAUUUUAGCAGUUGAUUUUGUGGAAAACAAAAUGAUUUUUAUUUAAGGUUGACGUUGUAGUAAUUAUGUUUUUAAAGACUACCCAAAAUAGAUGAAUGGACAAACUUUUUGUUGCAAAUGUCUAACGAUGUCUAACGAUAUUUGAUUAUCUUAGUGCGAACAGAUGAUAAGGAUGAUGCAUAUUUUCAUAUCAAAUGUAUGAAAGAAUAAAGCAAUUAGUAAGAAUGUUGUAGCAGACGACUUUUAUCUCGGCUGUCUGACUUUAACGCUCUGCAGAGCAGCAAAUUGUCUGUCUAACAAGGCUUCCUAUGUCUACGUGGGUCAUAGAAUAUGAAAAUAAGAUGCUGUUGGAUCAAAACAGUGCUUUGCCUCACUAGCUUUGGCUAUUCCGAUUGCCACUCGUAUUAAAAUGCUUGAUACCAGCACGACCACAGGAUGUGAUAAACAAUAACAUCAGCGUGAAGUGAAACUUCAUCGUCCUCGUUGGCCAAAAUGUUGUCCUCAAUAAUAUAUGAGUUGCAAAUGUUUGCUACAGAGAACUAUUCAUAUCGCAACAAUAUGCACUAACAUUACAACGUCUGUGUCGCUGUUAUGUGUGUGUGUGUGUGUGUGUGUUACUAUGAUGCGGUUCUUUUCUGAUGCUGAAUUCUGGAAUGUUCCGAGGAGUGCCUAUAUAAGAAGACCGAGAAGGACUGUCAACAGAGCUUCUUACCACCACUCUUUCAACAAGUAGACGCCACACUGCAUUCUGCCUUUCAUUCCUGGACAUUUAUGGACAUUUGUUGACUUGGAAUAUUCUCUGGAAAGAACAUUUGCCUGAUUGUUCAACUCUGGUGUGUUCAACUCUGGUGACUAUUCAUAGCUUGGCUCAUCGACUCAGUCUUUGAACUUCUAUUCUGCGUUACUUUUAUUAUUUUUGUGUUGUGUGUGUGAUUUAAUUGUCUGAAACGCAAUACAACUGCUUUGUCAUAUUUUGCUGGUUUAAACGUGGGGAUUUAAGUGUAAAUUCACAUGUAACACUGUAAAGCAUACAGCGACAUAGGACGGACCAAAACUUGAACCCCGUUCCUCAGAACUGCAAGGCCAACCAGUUGCCUACUGUGUCGCCUUUUUUUGUCAUUCGUUUUAAUUUGUUUCUCCUUUGAUCUGUUGAAAUGUGUCUUUUUGUAAAACUUUCCAUAAUGCAAAAAAAAAAACAAAGGUUCACCACUGAAAAAAUAUCAGUGACAUCUGUUUUUCAACUUCAACUGGACUUUCAUCAAAUUAUACCUGGAAGCAUAAUAUCGUGGGUUGUUCCGGAAGUAGUAGUCACAGAUUGUCUUGACAUAUUUGCCCUCUUGUUACCUGUAUAGAGAA